AUUGAACGCUGGCGGCAGGCCUAACACAUGCAAGUCGAACGAGUGGCGGACGGGUGAGUAAUGUCUGGGAAACUGCCUGAUGGAGGGGGAUAACUACUGGAAACGGUAGCUAAUACCGCAUACCAUCGGAUGUGCCCAGAUGGGAUUAGCUAGUGGGUGGGGUAACGGCUCACCUAGGCGACGAUCCCUAGCUGGUCUGAGAGGAUGACCAGCCACACGGGAACUGAGAAAGGGCCCAGACUCCAACGGAGGGAGGCAGUGGGGAAUAUUGGACAAUGGGCGCAAGCCUGAUGCAGCCAUGCCGCGGGUGUGAAGAAGGCCUUCGGGUUGUAAAGCACUUUCAGCGGGGAGGCGUUACCCGCAGAAGAAGCACCGGCUAACUCCGUGCCAGCAGCCGCGGUAAUAC
rnacentral:rRNA from 1 species